AUUGAACGCUGGCGGCAGGCUUAACACAUGCAAGUCGAGCGAGCGGCGGACGGGUGAGUAAUGUCUGGGAAACUGCCUGAUGGAGGGGGAUAAAUACUGGAAACGGUAGCUAAUACCGCAUACCAUCAGAUGUGCCCAGAUGGGAUUAGCUAGUAGGUGGGGUAAUGGCUCACCUAGGCGACGAUCCCUAGCUGGUCUGAGAGGAUGAACAGCCACCCUGGAACUGUGACACUGUCCAGAGUCCUACGGGAGGCAGCAGUGGGGAAUAUUGCACAAUGGGCGCAAGCCUUAGGCAGUCAUGCCGGUUGUGUGAAGAAGGCCUUCGGGUUGUAAAGCACUUUCAGCGGGGAGGCGUUACUCGCAGAGGAAGCAACGGCUAACUCCGUGCCAGAAGCCGCGGUAAUUC
rnacentral:rRNA from 1 species